GGACUAAGUUUUUAAAUAACACACUGGAAGAGUAUUGCAAAAUGUAAGACAUUUCUCUUGAAGCCUUCACCUAAUUCUUCCUGUGGAGCUAUCCCCUGAGGGAAUCUUCUUAGCCCAGUUCCUGGCAUCUAAUAGCUACCAAUGGUGUUGUCUGUCAUCUUAGCCAUGAAGGCAAAGGAGUAAAUGCAAAUAUGAACAUUGUUCCUGACCAUUCAUCUUGGGAGCACUAUUUGAUAGCAUGGAGAAACUAUCCCCUUUCCUCCCUUCCCCACCAUUUCCCAGUACAUUUUGGAUUGAGUGCAUCCCAGAAGUGAAGCUCUUCUUUCUGUGUGAUGAUAAUGGGCAUGAUCAGAAUGUAUUUCCUUCUGACUGAAAGCCAGAAGAGUUUUGCUUCAGUGGAAUUCACUGUCUUUAGGAGAAAAGAUGUGAUCAGAAUAGGAAUGCUGAAUUCAGGAUACCUUUUCUGCUGGACCAGUGAUAAAAUUCCAAUGAUCAUUGGCAGAAGGCUCAGCACUUCUUGUGGCACACAUGGUGAGAUGGAUGGAUGCUGUUACUGGAAUGCAUCUUCAAAAUUUCUAAAGAUCUGUGAUUUCAACCAUUUGGUUGGAAAUAGACUCAUAGGGCCACAUUCUUCUGUGUUAACUCUUUUAUGGUUACUUUGGAUAAAGUGAUCUUGAAUGUAAUUCUCAGUUAUUUUAAAUUAUUAAUAGGAAAGGCCAAAAUAUUAAAUGUUUUAUUUGUUAAAAUGCAUUGCAGGCUUUUGUGGUGAAAUAUUAAAACUGACCUUCACAAAGGUUUUUUUUUUUUUACUCAAAUUACUUGGAAUAAAAAUCUGCCUUUUGCUUUUGUCAUCAGAUCCCUCUUUUGGUGAGGUUCUCCAUUUCCUGUGAGUGGCCUCCCUUUUUCCUUAUAGGUCUAAAAGACAGUGCCUGACUUAUAUUCAGGUUGGCAGCACAGACACUGUCCAUUUACCUCCAGACAUGGAUGAGCUUCCUGAAAAAAAGUCAUUCAGAGUAAGUACCCUUUCCCUCAUUCCUACUCUUCCAGUCUUUUCUGUGCUGGCUGGAAACCACCAGUAUCUCCUGUUUGCACUUGAUUUUUGGACCACCUAUAAACCAUAUUUAAAGAACCUAAUUUCUGGAGAAUGGUUGUGGUAUUAUGAUAAAUUUUGGAAGGCACCUCUUCAGUUGAUUUGUAUGAAUAAAGGCUAUAUGAAGUUUGGAUGCACAAUUUCUUGCUUCAUUCUGGUUUUUAAAGUGAACUUUGCAACCAUAUAUGUCCUGACCUAUAUAAGAACCUUUUUCAUCCCUUGUUCCUACCAUGGGCUCCAGAUUAAAAUCGACUUUUUGGUUACAGUCUUUGAAGUUCAUUGUGUCCUUAGGAUCAGAGGCAAAGAUCCAUUUUACCUGAGCUACUCAUAAAUGGUUGUGGGAAAGUUCAACAUCUUGUCAGUUUCCUAGGGUGAGUGGGUACAACAAAGUAAUGUGAUAUUGUCAUGUUUAGAAUUCCUUAAAUUGUUCAAGCCAAAGGUAAAUGGUUUGUUUUUCUACAGCUUUAUCUUUUGAUGCCUAUUGUAACGUGAAAGUCAUUAAAAAUGGACAUGAUUA